CUUUUGUUAAUUAUUUUCACCCAAAUAAAAUUGUGAAUUCACUAAGUUUUCUCUUCUUCUCUCCCUCUCCAACAAUUCCCGCCGUUCAUUUCUUCUCAGCGCACGAACUCCUCCGACGACCUCCGCGCUGCCAUUCCUCCGCCCGCCGCCGGUGUCUUACAUCAUCUUCUUCUCGGAGGUGAAGCCCUAAAAUCCCUAAAUCCCCAAAUUCUUCCUCACCUAAAAUCCCCAAACCCUAUUGUUGCCGCCGACGACCUCCGCCCCGGACAGCCACUGCAUACGCCGGUAAUUACUCUUCGCACCGCUACGGUACGUCUCGGUACUCUCUCUCUCUCUCUCUCUCUCUCUCUCUUGCUCUCACUCGCCGUAUCUCUCCGUCUCAUUCAUGGUGGCUACCGCGGAUCCAACAGCGUUGGCAAUCGUUGCCGCAAGCCCGCGCCUCCUUCGCGGUGGGUGGCGGUCGAGCCGCUGCUGUCCUGUUAUUUAUUUAUUUCUGAUAAUUUUGGAAUUUUAGCUGCAAUUUGUCUAUUUCGUUCGAACCACACAUUUGAAGAGGUUUUCUCUUUUUGGGGGGGUUUUUGUUGUUCUCAUCUGUUUUUUAUUUGCUGUUAUUUAGAAAGGCUUUUGAUCCUGAAUAGAUAAAGUGUGUUUAUUUUGCUGUUGGAGUUGAAAUAAUUGGGAAAUAUUUAAGCUUAAAUAGAGAGGGUGUAUUUGCUUUGAUUAAUUGAAUCACAUGGUUCACUCUCAGCUGCUGCGGAGUAGGGUUUUUACUUCUACCGAGAAGGCUUUUUUGAAGCAGCCUAAGGUGUUUCUUUGGUGAGUUUGUGUUUGCGUAAUGUUAGAUUUGUUGUAGAGGAAAGAAUCCUGUUUACAUCUAUUUUUGCUACAUUAUAUUGGAAUUGAUUCCUAAAUUCUUUACAAAUUACAACUUAUGUGGCUUUUUUGUGUACUCCCCUGUUGUUUUAUGACUUCCUCUCCGCCUUCUGGUUUCAGAAUGUGAGUAGCUGAAUGUCGUGCUGUUAAACUAGUCUUCCUAAUUCUCGAGUCUCUGUCUGGAGACUGGAGCCAUAUUGGUGUGUGAAUGCAGGUUGUAUUUCUUGAAUAUGUGCAGGUGCCUGUUUGUUUAAUACCCAUGCUGUCGGAGUGAUUCGACCUACCCCAUGAUCUUGCUCUACAGAUAUGGUAUGUAUAAUUUAAGAGUAAAGAGAUGUCGAAAGUCAACAGCUUGUUGAUGGAGAAAGGGUUGUGGGAAUUUUGUAUUAUGUGAUGCAAACUUGCUAGGUUGAGCUUGUGUGUCGGGUUCUCUCCUGAAUUAGUUUCUGCAGAUUCAUCAUAGCAGGAUGACCAACUAGUUAUUGAGGACUUGAUGCUAGAACAUAUAGUAUGAUAGAUUUUCGUUUUAGCUAUAAGAUACUUUGUAAUUUCAAUUUUGAAUCAAAAUAUGCAAUGAUGAUAUAUACUUGAUACUUAGUUUAUUCGGAUGAUUAAUGUAUGAAUAUUUUGGAUGAUAUAUAAUAUUGUUAUUGUUGGUUUUA